rnacentral:rRNA from 1 species
AAAGCAGCCACCUUUAAAAAAGCGUUACAGCUUACCUGUGUAAUUUGUCAAUUUCUUCAAUUACAAUAAACCCUUUCCCAAUAAUGAGUAACUCUAUACAACUAUAGAAAUUUUUAUGUUAAAACUAGUAACAAGAAGUACUUCUCUUAAAUACUCGUGUAUACCUCCAAUGAACGCACCUGAACUGACAGUAGCAACCCUCCAAGAAAACACUACUGACCACAACGUUGACCUAACCCCAGAGUAUUAAAAGAAAGAUUAAAAGGAAAAGAAGGAACUCGGCAAAUAGUAAUCCCGCCUGUUUACCAAAAACAUCGCCUUUUGAAAUCUAUAAAAGGUCCAGCCUGCCCAGUGACUCUGUUUAACGGCCGCGGUAUCCUGACCGUGCGAAGGUAGCGUAAUCACUUGUUCUCUAAAUAAGGACCAGUAUGAAUGGCAUCACGAGAAUUACACUGUCUCCUUUUCCUAAUCAGUGAAACUAAUCUCCCCGUGAAGAAGCGAGGACAUACCUAUAAGACGAGAAGACCCUGUGGAACUUAAAAUUAAACAGAAAUUGAAUUAAACUCCAAUAUUACUGCAAACUUUCGGCUGGGGCGACCGCGGAGUAUAAACCACCCUCCGCAUUGAACGGAUUAACACCCUAAACAAAAACUACACCUUUAAGUAUCAGCAGACUGACAUCAAUUGACCCGAUACAUCGAUCAAUGAACCAAGCUACCCCAGGGAUAACAGCGCCAUCCACUUCGAGAGCUCAUAUCGACAAGUGGGCUUACGACCUCGAUGUUGGAUCAGGAUACCCCGGUGGUGUAGCCGCUACCAAAGGUUCGUUCGUUCAACGAUUAAAAUCCUACGUGAUC